rnacentral:lncRNA from 1 species
GGAUAAAAUGCUUAGGAGCUUGAAAAAUUGUAAUUUCCUGGGGUCGUUGCGAAACGAGGUAUUAACGAAAGCUUUCUGAAUCUGGAUGAAGUCGUUGUCCACAGUCCGUGCUCUCUACUCUGAAAUACGAGCGGUCAUUGAACAGCAGAUGAUCAGCUUGAUCAGGAAGCAAGGAUGGAGAAAAGAGAGGUGUGGGCGAAUUCGGGAUGGAUAUAUGAACUGUGAAGCAUAUUUACG